GAUGAACGCUGGCGGCGUGCCUAAUACUUGCAAGUCGAGCGAACAGACGAGGAGCUUGCUCCUCUGACGUUAGCGGCGGACGGGUGAGUAACACGUGGAUAACCUACCUAUAAGACUGGGAUAACUUCGGGAAACCGGAGCUAAUACCGGAUAAUAUAUUGAACCGCAUGGUUCAAGAGUGAAAGACGGUUUUGCUGUCACUUAUAGAUGGAUCCGCGCCGCAUUAGCUAGUUGGUAAGGUAACGGCUUACCAAGGCAACGAUGCGUAGCCGACCUGAGAGGGUGAUCGGCCACACUGGAACUGAGACACGGUCCCGACUCCUACGGGAGGCCACAGUAGGGAAUCUUCCGCAAUGGGCGAAAGCCUGACGGAGCAACGCCGCGUGAGUGAUGAAGGUCUUCGGCUCGUAAAACUCUGUUAUUAGGGAAGAACAAAUGUGUAAGUAACUAUGCACGUCUUGACGGUACCUAAUCAGAAAGCCACGGCUAACUACGUG
rnacentral:rRNA from 1 species